AACGAACGCUGGCGGCAUGCCUAACACAUGCAAGUCGAACGAGACCUUCGGGUCUAGUGGCGCACGGGUGCGUAACGCGUGGGAACCUGCCCUUAGGUUCGGAAUAACUCCCCGAAAGGGGUGCUAAUACCGGAUAAUGUCUUCGGACCAAAGAUUUAUCGCCUUUGGAUGGGCCCGCGUUGGAUUAGCUAGUUGGUAGGGUAAAAGCCUACCAAGGCGACGAUCCAUAGCUGGUCUGAGAGGAUGAUCAGCCACACUGGGACUGAGACACGGCCCAGACUACGACGGGAGGCAGCAGUGGGGAAUAUUGGAAAAUGGGCGAAAGCAUGAUCCAGCAAUGCCGCGUGAGUGAUGAAGGCCUUAGGGUUGUAAAGCUCUUUGACCCGGGAUGAUAAUGACAGAACCGGGAGAAUAAGAUCAGGCUAACUCAGGG
rnacentral:rRNA from 1 species